rnacentral:rRNA from 1 species
GAUCAUGGCUCAGGACGAACGCUGGCGGCGUGCUUAACACAUGCAAGUCGAACGGACCUUAUCUGACAGAUUUCUUCGGAUUGACGACAUAUAAGGUUAGUGGCGGACGGGUGAGUAACACGUGGAUAAUCUACCGUAAAGACCGGGACAACAGUUGGAAACGACUGCUAAUACCGGAUGUUGUGCAGAGGCGGCAUCGCUUUUGCAUUAAAGGAGGCCUCUAUUUAUAAGCUCCCGCUUU